rnacentral:rRNA from 1 species
UGCAGUCGAACGGAUUGCCUUCGGGCAGUUAGUGGCGGACGGGUGAGUAACACGUGAGUGACCUGCCCUGGAGUGGGGAAUAACUCUGCGAAAGCAGAGCUAAUACCGCAUUCGCUUAUUUCAUCAUCGGAAUAAGUAAAGCUCCAUGCGCUUCAGGAGGGGCUUGCGGCCGAUUAGCUAGUCGGUGGGGUAAUGGCCUACCGAGGCAACGAUCGGUAGCUGGUCUGAGAGGAUGACCAGCCACACUGGGACUGAGACACGGCCCAGACUCCUACGGGAGGCAGCAGUAAGGAAUAUUCCACAAUGGUCGCAAGACUGAUGGAGCAACGCCGCGUGCGCGACGAAGCCCUUCGGGGUGUAAAGCGCUUUUCCCAGGGAUGAGAAUGGACAGUACCUGGGGAAUAAGCCUCGGCUAACUACGUGCCAGCAGCCGCGGUAAUACGUAGGAUGCAAGCGUUGUCCGGAAUCAUUGGGCGUAAAGGGUCCUGAGGUGGUUUGCUCAGUCCACUGUGAAAGUUCAGGGCUUACCCUUGAAAAUGCGGUGGAAACUAGCAGGCUAGAGUACGGUGGGGGCAGAGGGAAUUCCCGAUGUAGCGGUGAAAUGCAUAGAUAUCGGGAAGAACACCGAUGGCGAAGGCACUCUGCUGGGCCGACACUGACACUGAAAGACGAAAGCCAGGGGAGCGAAUGGGAUUAGAUACCCCAGUAGUCCUGGCCGUAAACGAUGGAUACUGAGUGCUGGGCGGUUCAACCCGUGCAGUGCUGUAGCUAACGCGUUAAGUAUCCCGCCUGGGGAGUAUGCUCGCAAGAGUGAAACUCAAAGGAAUUGACGG